rnacentral:rRNA from 1 species
AGCGAACGCUAGCGGCGGGCUUAACACAUGCAAGUCGAGCGCUUCACUUCGGUGAAGAGCGGCGGACGGGUGAGUAACACGUAGGUUACCUGCCCCUGGGAGAGGGACAACCGAGGGAAACCUCGGCUAAUACCACAUAUGGUCUACGGAUCAAAGGCUUCGGCCGCCCGGGGAUGGGCCUGCGUCCCAUUAUUUAAUCCUAGUUGGCGGGGUAACGGCCCACCAAGGGUACGAUGGGUAGCUGGUCUGAGAGGAUGAUCAGCCACACUGGAACUGAGACACGGUCCAGACUCCUACGGGAGGCAGCAGUGGGGAAUAUUGCGCAAUGGGCGAAAGCCUGACGCAGCCACGCCGCGUGAGUGAUGAAGGCCCCAGGGUCGUAAAGCUCUGUCGGGGGGAGAAGUUCUGACGGUACCCCCGAACGAAAGACACCGGCGUAACUACCGUCGCACG